CUUAGUGUGUGGGCUAUUGGCAGAUAGUUCAUUCGGUUCACGAACGGCUUGCAAAAGUGCCGUUCGUGAAACGAAAUAGAAACUGACUAUCUGCGUUCGGCAGAUCCAAUACAAGUAAUAUAGCAGGCAGGAUACAGCAGAUGCAAACAGUUACAUACAUAAAAUAUACCGGCAACCCUUAAAGGCAUAUUGUCCCUGUUUAGUCCAAGUGGCUAGGUUUGCCACAAU